GAGUGCGGACCUGCCGUUGAUUGGAGCAGCCAGUGAGGAGUGAUUGGACGAGACGGGGUGACCCCCAGUCUGUCAUGGCAGAUGGCCAUUCACACUGAGCCUGGUUCUGCUGGAGGUUUCAUGUUGCUACAUGAAUGCUCGCUAUGAGGAAUUGCUACGAAGUCAACGACACAAUGCAAGCGACUGUCCACUGUCCCUACAUGCUCAUCCAGGAGGAGGGAAUGCUGCAAUGUCCGUCUGCUCCCUGUUUGUGACACGCCACCCACUCUGCAAUCUGUGCGCCGAUCUCUGAGAAUUACCCAACGCCCGGAUAAGUAAGCAGAGACUGUACUUCUUGCGGCAACUCAAGACGUACAACCUUUCACAGGAUCUGCUGGUCAUCUUCUACACGGCCGUCAUUCACUCUGUCUUGUCUUCAAAUCACUGUGUGGUUUGGCUCAUCCACAAAACUGGACAGGCCCAAACUGCAAUGAACAAGCAGGUCUGCAGAGAAGGUCACCUGAGCUGACCUUUCCUUCCAUUCAGCACCUGUACAGGACAGCUACCAUCACUGCAGAUUCCAUACAUCCUCAUCACAAAUUGUUUAGAAUUUUACCUUCAGGUUACUGCUUUAGAGUGCUACCAGCGGCACAGGGAUGGUUUUUUUCCCCAAGCUGUUUCUCUGAUGAACACAUUGAACACAGCCUGAGUAGUCAGCUACUCUGCUAGGAAACAAAAUAAGUAUACAGUGUGGAGAACAGGUAUUUGAUACACUGCAGAUUUUGCUGGUUUUCAGACUUGCAAAGCAUUUAAAAGUCUUUAAUUUUUAUCAUAGGUACUCUUC